UACGUAGGGUGCAAGCGUUGUCCGGAAUUAUUGGGCGUAAAGAGCUCGUAGGCGGUCUGUCACGUCGGCUGUGAAAUCCCGAGGCUCAACCUCGGGUCUGCAGUCGAUACGGGCAAACUAGAGUAUUGCAGGGGAGACUGGAAUUCCUGGUGUAGCGGUGAAAUGCGCAGAUAUCGGGAGGAACACCUGUGGCGAAGGCGGCUUUCUGGGCCUUACCUGACGCUGAGACGCGAAAGCGUGGGGAGCGAACCGG
rnacentral:rRNA from 1 species